UACGUAGGGUGCAAGCGUUAAUCGGAAUUACUGGGCGUAAAGCGUGCGCAGGCGGUUGUGCAAGACAGAUGUGAAAUCCCCGGGCUUAACCUGGGAAUGGCAUUUGUGACUGCACGGCUAGAGUGUGUCAGAGGGGGUAGAAUUCACGUGUAGCAGUGAAAUGCGUAGAUAUGUGGAGGAAUACCGAUGGCGAAGGCAGCCCCCUGGG
rnacentral:rRNA from 1 species